rnacentral:rRNA from 1 species
CUAAUAGCGUAUAUUAAAGUUGUUGCGGUUAAAAAGCUCGUAGUUGAAUUUUGGAAUUGAUGCAUCGGUCGUGCCUUAAGGGGCAUGAACUGGUGUAGCCAAUUUCUCAUCUUCUGGUGAUUUGUGAUGUUCUUAAUUGGGUGUCUCAAUGAACUGGAAUUUUUUACUUUGAAAAAAUUAGAGUGUUUAAAGCAGGCAGUGAUUUGCUUGAAUACAUUAGCAUGGAAUAAUGAAAUAGGACAGUGGUUCUGUUUUGUUGGUUUCUAGGAUCACGUAAUGAUUAAUAGGGACAGUUGGGGGCAUUAGUAUUCAAUUGUCAGAGGUGAAAUUCUUGGAUUUAUUGAAGACUAACUAUUGCGAAAGCAUUUGCCAAGGAUGUUUUCAUUAAUCAAGAACGAAAGUUAGGGGAUCAAAGAUGAUUAAGUAUGUCGUAGUCCUAACCAUAAACUAUGCCGACUAGGAAUCAGACGAUGUUAAUUUUUUAAUGACUCGUUUGGUACCUUACG